rnacentral:rRNA from 1 species
GUGGGGAAUAUUGGACAAUGGGCGAAAGCCUGAUCCAGCCAUGCCGCGUGUGUGAAGAAGGUCUUCGGAUUGUAAAGCACUUUAAGUUGGGAGGAAGGGCAGUAAGUUAAUACCUUGCUGUUUUGACGUUACCGACAGAAUAAGCACCGGCUAACUUCGUGCCAGCAGCCGCGGUAAUACGAAGGGUGCAAGCGUUAAUCGGAAUUACUGGGCGUAAAGCGCGCGUAGGUGGUUUUGUAAGUUGGAGGUGAAAUCCCCGGGCUCAACCUGGGAACUGCCUCCAAAACUGCAUGACUAGAGUACGGUAGAGGGUAGUGGAAUUUCCUGUGUAGCAGUGAAAUGCGUAGAUAUAGGAAGGAACACCAGUGGCGAAGGCGACUACCUGGACUGAUACUGACACUGAGGUGCGAAAGCGUGGGGAGCAAACAGGAUUAGAUACCCUAGUAGUCC